rnacentral:sRNA from 1 species
AAAUGAUUGGGAAGAGGUUGAAGAACUUAGUGAGCCUGUGCUGGGUGACGUGAGAGAAAGUACAGCCUUCUCUCGAUCUCUUCUGCCUGUGAAGCCAGUGGAGAUAGAGAUUGAAACGCCAGAGCAGGCGAAGACAAGAGAAAGAAGUGAAAAGAUAAAACUGGAGUUUGAGACAUAUCUUCGGAGGGCGAUGAAACGUUUCAAUAAAGAGGUCCAUGAGGACACACACAAGGUUCACCUUCUCUGCCUGCUAGCAAAUGGCUUCUAUCGAAAUAACAUCUGCAGCCAGCCAGAUCUGCAUGCUAUUGGCCUGUCCAUCAUCCCAGCCCGCUUUACCAGAGUGCUGCCUCGAGAUGUGGACACCUACUACCUCUCAAACCUGGUGAAGUGGUUCAUUGGAACAUUUACAGUUAAUGCAGAACUUUCAGCCAGUGAACAAGAUAACCUGCAGACUACAUUGGAAAGGAGAUUUGCUAUUUACUCUGCUCGAGAUGAUGAGGAAUUGGUCCAUGUAAGUGAUCCUCCCGGAUCACUGUUUUUUAUCAGUACUGUUAACUAAUGAUAAUGGCAGCCAUGUGCCAGAUGCCAUUCCAGGUGUGUUACCGACACUACCUUAUUCAGUCCUCAUAAUGACGUUGAUAGCUGCUGAAGCCCAGAAUAGCUACAUGAUGCCUCUAAGGUCUUUUCCUUGGUGAGCCUGAGAAUCGAGAUUGGGAUCAGAGUCUGAGUGGAGGGCCUGUAUGCUUUCCUCCCUAUCGCCUCUAGUUCUGGUGUACCAAAAAGCCCGUAGUUUUUGGUCAGAUGUGCUAGAAAUAUUUUCAUUAAUUUUUCCAAUUUUGUCUUCAGAAGUCCCAAGGAAAUGUUUUUUCAAAUUGGAUGCUGAAGUCCUUGAGAACGUGUUUUUGUACCUCACAUUUGGGUGUUGACACUGGCAGGCAGCAGUGCAGUGAGGAGGGUU